rnacentral:rRNA from 1 species
UACGUAGUGUGCAAGCGUUAAUCGGAAUUACUGGGCGUAAAGCGUGCGCAGGCGGUUAUGCAAGUCAGAUGUGAAAUCCCCGGGCUCAACCUGGGAACUGCAUUUGUGACUGCAUGGCUAGAGUGCGGCAGAGGGGGAUGGAAUUCCGCGUGUAGCAGUGAAAUGCGUAGAUAUGCGGAGGAACACCGAUGGCGAAGGCAAUCCCCUGGGCCUGCACUGACGCUCAUGCACGAAAGCGUGGGGAGCAAACAGG